CUAAUCGUACAGCAGAACUCAGAUUGGUUUUUUAGAAACUCAAUCUCAGUUGUCCAUCAGAGUACUUCUAGUAUUAAACCUUCUUAGUAUAUAAGAAAGAAAUCCUUGCCCAUGCUACCAUUUCCUGAUUGAGAUGACCUAAAAAACAUCUGUUGCUUAUCCAUGCCUUGGGUACAGAGCAGUGUAGGUAAAAGCUUCCCUGCUGAUGUGCCCAGCCUGGUUCAUAAGGAUAUUCUUUGAAGGAUGGCCCAACCUGAAGAGGUACCUGGACAGCUGCACCAUAGCCUAACAAGAAUGAGAACUGAACAUGAAAGGUGAAAAAAUAAUUGUGAAAAGACCUCUGCACAGCCACAAUUUCAAAAGACAGUAUUUUUUUUUGCCUUAAUUUACACCGUAGAAUCUAAAUUUGGCGCUUGAAGUACCUUCAGCAACUUCUAAUGCAGAUUCACUCCUAAAUUUUAGGAGACAGAAAAUGAUGUUUUAUCACAGAUUAGUUGGUAGUUUCCCUUCUCCUGUUUUAAAGUCUGUCAAUCUGACCGGUUUUUUAUUAAUUUAUUCAGUAGCUAUGGUGACAGUUCAUCUCUGUCAAUCAGCAGCAAAGGUCUAAGCCAUACCUCUCUGAAAACAAUUCCAGAAAUAUAAUAUUCUGUAGAUAAAACAAUUAUGAGACUGGAUUAACAUUAACAAAAUUAAUAUGUAUUCUCACAGUGAGAUUAUGCUCAUCUCCCUAUGACAUUUAUUUUUGCCAUCGCACAAGUGCACACAGUAAGAAAAUGAAACCAUCUGCACUGAGCAUUAGGAUCACACUACCCAAACCCGAUGAGAGAAGACUGAUGCUGGGAAAACAGGACAAAACAGAUGAAAUUUUAAAUGAUUUUUUCCUCUACUAAUAUUUCAUGCUGGUCUCCUUCACAGGAUUAGUUCCCAAAUAGCCUCUGACUACAUGAAUUGCUCCACAAAUUGUCUCACAGAGCCAUACAGUGUUAUCAUCAAAAAAUAUAUAUUUAAUAAUACAGCUAUCACAAUCAAAAUCUCGAGAAUUAAAAUCCUCCAUGAUCAAAGUUCUGGCUCUCUUGCAGACUUUUUUUCUUUUAAAUCAGCAAUACAUGUUGUUAUCUGCUUUUCUUAACUGCCCUCAAGGGUUACAAUAACUGGAUUAUUUUAUUGUUCUUAUCUAUUAAAGCUUUCCAGUGUACCAGACAAAAUACUUAACUAGCUCUCUGUUGGCAGCCCAAUACCAUCUCGCAUCGAUUGAACCAAAAGAUUCCUUUGCCUUAUCUUGUUCAGUGUAGACCAGAUUUCCUGCUGCUCACUGCUAAAAAUAUUUAGUGAUUUUACUUCCCAAGGAAGCUCUGAUUUCUGUUCAGUAGACUGUACUGGGUAUGGUCUAGGGAAAUUUUUUUUCUAUGUUUGUUGUUUUUAUCCUUUGUCUUCCAAUUCCCAUUUGUUCUGACAAGUUAAGUAUUAUUGGGACCUACAGUUGGACUGUCUCUUCCUUCACCUCCUCUUUCUUUUCGCAUCUAGCCUAGAAGUGUUUGCUGCCUACUUUAAAUAAAUAGUUAAUGUACAUUCUCCUCACAGGUCUCCUAAGCAUCUUUGAACAGCAGUUCUACCAGUGUCACUGUUCCACAUGCAUGCAAAAUCACUCAGAAAUCUGACUGUAAACCUGUAUUAGCAGCAGUUCCUAUCACAGCAGGAACAUCUUCACGCUGUGUUACCAGAGAAAGAACUAAGGAUAAAGACAGAUACGAAGCUAAUAUGUCUGAGAAGGUGAUAAAGCACUGCAAGGCAGCUCUAUUAAUAACUGCAUAUAUCUGAGUCAGAUAGAGGGAAAUAAGAGGGCCACAACUGUUACAGGAUACAUCCAACCUUUUUUCCCCUUACCUAACAAAUGAAGGAAUUACUAUGCCAUGAACUGACACAAUACGAAUAGGGGUAUUUCCUACUGAUACUUCAGUUGAGAACACUUUUCAUUAUCACCAACUUUAACAUACCAGCAAAAGAUCAACUCACUAUAAUUCUGAGUACUUUGGUCAUUAUAAACAAUAUACUGUUGCAAUAUACUUCAAUGUUAGGGACAAAAAACCUUGUACAUUCAAAGUGCAAUAUUUUCUAAAAAAGAUAUCAGAUGGCUGAUGAGAUUUGGGGUUGUUCUGAAGAAAAUGCUGUGCUGGAAAAUCCAAGACUAAAAGCUAAUGAUGAAUUUGUAAAGCACUCAAGAUCACCUACACAACACAGAAGAAGCCAAGAAAGGACAGAUAACAGAGCAAUUCUCAACUGACAGUUCGAAGAAUCAAUUUUUGUUUUUAUCUCACUUGCUAUGAAAUUAAUGAGGUUUUCAUAGUAUAGUAGUGCAAAGACCUACCAUCUGUGUAAAUUCCUGAACUCACUGAAUUUUCCUUUGUCUGGCACCUUCUGUACUGCCCAGCAGUGUUCCCACUUUGUUUAUACAUUUGACAGUCUAAGCGUAUUUUCUUUUCCAGGGCAGGCAGCCCUCAGCUCUAGCUGUCUACAUUGUGAAGCUGACUCCACACAAAUCAACACAUGCUUUAAACUUGUCCUCAUAGUGUCUCAGUUGUGUACUGAUCUCUCAUCUAUUCACCAUGAUUUACAACAAAAUAAAGGGGUGUGGGGAGGAACAACAGGAGACACAGAUUCUAGCACUUUGCAGUAUACACAUUUCAUAACAACUGAAACAGAUAACUUUACGGGCGUACCACUACAAUACUAUCUAACCAUACUCUUGAAUUUAAGUUUUUGAAAUCAACUUAUGCAAAUAUAUAAAUAUUUAAGGCCAGGAAAUAUGGAAAGGGAUGUAAUAAUACUCCAGUCAAAAUGCUGCAACUACACAGAGAAGCUGUAACAACAGAUUGCUUUGUAGAAAUUUACUUCUGUUUGAAGUUCAUUGAUUUUCAUUCCAGCCAUUUAUUUUGCUAAGCAGUAGUUUUGAGCACCUAUUGAUCAUCAUGUUCUGAUGUGGCAGGCUUCUGAGAAAAAAAGUUAAACUAACUAGAACUAAUGAGCAAUUAAACUUGCUCACACAAGUACAGUUGUGGUUUAAUGGUGGCAAGCACAUGACAUGAAGAACAAUGUGUCCAUUUUCUCAGACUUAUUUUCAAAUAAUGCUUAAAAAAAAUUCAGAUUCAUUAUCUAGACAAUAACACAUUAAACAGAGAAACAGAUUUUAACACGUGUUGUACACCAUGCAUACAUAAAUGUAAAAGAAAUUAAGCACUGGAGACCCAUUUUGAUCUACUUUUCUUCUGCUCUUCUACGUAAAUAUAACAUCCUUCUCUUCUAGACAAAAAGAGUAAUACUCUGUCUUAACUUUUCCAUACAUUUUUUUUAUCUUCAGUAUUAAACUGUUGAAGCUCAUUUCCCAUUUCUUAUACCAUGUUCCCUAGUUCUUAACUAUUUUGUGCAUUUGUCAAAUGGUCUUUGGAUCCUACCAUUUCUUUUCUUUCCCAUGAAAAGGUGAUUCAUUUCUGAAGGAAGGACUCAAUUAAGAUUUCCAGCAAAAAUUAUGUUUCAGGAGAGGACAAAAUGGGCACAUGUGAUAUCCAACAGUUGAUGAUUAACAGUGUUGCACUAAAGUCUCUGGAAUCACAAAACAACCCAAUCCUUGCUGAGGGAAAAUUGUAUUUUAAAAGUUCAGUAUUCACUUAUUAUAAUGCAGUUAUUGCAUUACAACCUUAGAUGAAUUCCAGAAAUAAAUGAAACGACAAUAUUUUUCUUGAGGUAAAUUCAAAAACCACUAAUAAAGGAAAUCUGCUAGGUUCAAAAAAAAUCAUUUGCUGAGAGCAAUACUUCCAAGUCUGCAUCAGGGUGGGUAGAAAACAAGAGAUUAAGAAUAUAGAAUAUGAAGAAUAUGAGAUGAAAAGAAAAAAAAAUAUGUUGCUUUUUGGAAGCUGAGGAAAAGCCUGAACACAUAAGCCAAGGAAUAAUGGUUUUGGGUUUUUUUUGUUUGUUUUUUCAAGUAACAUACCCAAAAAUCUAAUGAAAGGAAACAAAAUCUCACAGGCCAAGGCAGCAGUAUUUGAGAACCAGAUCCAAGAUGAAAUCCUCAGGCUACAUGGGCUUUUUCUUGAAAAUUGGAUUGCAAAAGCUUAACAGCUUGCAACUGAAGAUGACCCACUUUGCAUUGAAAAGACAUACAGAAUCCCCUUUAAGAAAAUAAUAACAAUAAUAAUAAAUAUAUAUAUGUCUUGAGUAGAAGGCAGAAUCACACUUAGCCUCUCAGGUCAGAGAUGCAAGGGAAGGAUCCACCUCACGGCAGCAUAAAAGGACAGCCAACUUUUCUAAUAUGCUUUAAGUCUUACAUUUCUUUCUUGUCUAAAGUGCCAUAACUGCAGCAAAGACUGAGGUUAGCACUGCCAAAGAAGAGAAGUAGACAUUUCUUUUAUAUUAAGAGGAAAAAAGAUCUCACAUUUCUUUACCAAAUAUUGGGAAAAGCAGGAUCGACAUACCUUCACAGCUUUCCCCAUUAUUGCAAAGAUAUGCCUUUCACAUGUCCAGAGGUCUACAGCUUUGUAAUACCUCCGUAGCCAAACAGAAAAGAAAAACCUAAUAUAUCAAAGUAUUAAUAAGCCUUAAUAAUUGACUUUCAAUGUUGUUUUUUUUUUUUUUUUUUUGGAAUAACAUUCCAUGCACAGCACUCCAGAAGUCACAUACAAAAAAUUUCCAACCAGCUCUGUGUUUUUAUCACAGAAUAUAGAACCAAGUAACGAGCAGCAAACAUUUCAUUUUCUAACUGGUAGUGAUCACAAAGGUACUGAUUUCUACAUAGUCUUCACUUGUUCAGCACCCUUGAAGACAAGAUAUGAAUAGUAAAUCACCCAUAUGAAAACUGAAAUUAGAGAAUCUCUUUGACCUUUAUAUUUGCAUUUCUUCCAUUACAGAAUAUAAAUAAAUUCAUAUAUUUCAUAAUGGGAAUUGUAAAACUUAUGCAAAUAUUGAUUCAGUACUUUGAUAAGAGAAUUUAUUUUCAAAUAGCAGGAGGAACAAUGAUCAAACAUUACCAAAAAAAUUCCUUAGGAAAUGCAAUCAAACAUGAAAAGUACUAUAUUCUUCUUUGCAGAAAAGCAUUUACAUUGCAAUACCUUCUAUAUCUAUAAAUCAGUUUCUUGUGUUGGCUAGCCAGUUUUUAAAUUGAUUUCUUUUUAAUAUUCAGGUCUUCCACCAUCAAUAGCAACACUUCAGAGUUAAACCAUUCAACAGCUCGCUUCCCAUUUUUUGGCUUUAUUUUUCCCCCAAAUUCCAUGACAGUAGCCUUAAAUCACAUAAAUCAAAUGAACUUUAGAGAGAGAAAAAAAACCAACAGAAUCUACAAACUUCAAACUGUUUUGUCAAAAAAAGUUCUUCUAGGUUAAACAUCUUGGAGAAUCAUCUUAAGUGGAAUGAUAAAUUAAAAUUACUCAAAAAAGAAAUAUUACCUGACUUUCUACUGCUAUUAUAAAAGACCGAAAAGUAGAACUGUAUCUUUUUACAGAUAAUUGUAGAGAUUUUACACUCCAAAGGACUUCUCAUAUUAGUUUUCUUACCUUUUCUCCACUUACAUAAAUGGACAUGAGAUAAAAUAUUCCAUUUCCAUUAUAUCUCAUAGUUUAACAGUUACGUCAAAAUGUUAAUCAGAAGAAUUCAAAAUAUUGUUAUAAAGCCUCCUAGGAACAUUUUAUUUUCUAGUUCUACAUAUAUCUCCUUGAUAUGCUCUAGCUCUUAUUUGUAGUUUUUUUUUUUUUUUGUAGACCAUAGAUCACCAUUCUUAUUUGUAGAUCAUUUUUCUCCCUUGUACCAAGGUGUUCCAUUCCUUCCUUCAUAGUUAUUGUCCACUUAAAUCUGUAUUUAUCCCUUUUAUUCCAUUCUUAGAUACAUAAUUGACCUACACCUGAAAAGUAAAUACUCAGACCUCUUUGAAAGUCUUGUGUAAAUAAAAAUUGUAGUUAAGAUCUAAACUAAGAGCAAACUUAAAUAAAGUACGCUUUUCUCACUGAGGUUCAGCGAAUGUCAUGAAGGAAAAAGGAAAGUCGUUCAGAUCUGCAUACAUAAUUAGAAACUUGCUUAAAUGAAGUUUGAAGAGAUUUGCAGAGAUUCUUUUUUCUUAUAAACAAGUUUAAAGAUUUUUGAAAUGGUUAGUUGGCCUGCAUUCAAAAAUACCAAGAGGGGUGCACUAAGGAACAUAACUUUUAUGAUUAUUUAAUUUUUUUUAGAUUGCCAAGUCAAGUGUGCUUUAAACUAGUCUCUUGUGAAUGUACAUAAUAAAAAAAAUUCUAUUUCAGCAGAUAAUUUUUUCAGGUGAUUUGCUUGCAGCAAAAUAAAAU
ensembl:lncRNA